UACAGAGGUCUCAAGCGUUGUUCGGAUUCAUUGGGCGUAAAGGGCGCGUAGGCGGUGAAGUAAGUCUGGUGUGAAAUCUAGGAGCUUAACUCCUAAACUGCACUGGAUACUGUUUUGCUUGAGGACUGGAGAGGAGAUUGGAAUUCACGGUGUAGCAGUGAAAUGCGUAGAUAUCGUGAGGAAGACCAGUGGCGAAGGCGGAUCUCUGGACAGUUCCUGACGCUGAGGCGCGAAGGCCAGGGGAGCAAAUGGG
rnacentral:rRNA from 1 species